rnacentral:rRNA from 1 species
UUCCUACGGGACGCAGCAGUGAGGAAUAUUGGUCAAUGGGAGAGAUCCUGAACCAGCCAAGCCGCGUGAGGGAAGACGGCCCUAUGGGUUGUAAACCUCUUUUGUCGGAGAACAAAACCCGGGACGUGUCCCGGACUGCGUGUAUCCGAAGAAAAAGCAUCGGCUAACUCCGUGCCAGCAGCCGCGGUAAUACGGAGGAUGCGAGCGUUAUCCGGAUUUAUUGGGUUUAAAGGGUGCGCAGGCGGACCAUCAAGUCAGCGGUAAAAUCGUGGGGCCCAACCCCAUCCCGCCGUUGAAACUGGCGG